CGCGUGAAAAAGCUGGAUUUCUAGCAGAUCGCGCUCACAGCCAUUUAAUCCUGUAGCGCAAUGUCACGCGACCUCACAGCGUUUGAAUCAGAUGCGUUUGAAGUUGAUAGGGGCAGGUGCUGGCGGUGUCAACGUUACAGGAUUUUAAUUGACUUUCGGAGAUGAGCUGGACUGGAGUAUAAAGGAACCACCAAAUGCUAUCAAGAACUCAUCAGCCCAGACGUUUUGUCCAUGCGUGAGCUGUGUAAAGUGGGUUCGUAUUCAAUUGGUCCCUUGAUGUCACAUUGGACAGAUACUUGGAUGGAAAAUGGGGAUCCCCUCUGGAAAUACCUCCCAAGAAAGACGUACAC
rnacentral:lncRNA from 1 species